GACGAACGCUGGCGGCGUGCUUAACACAUGCAAGUCGAGCGAUGAAAUCCCUUCGGGGAUGGAUUAGCGGCGGACGGGUGAGUAACACGUGGGCAACCUGCCUCAAAGUGGGGGAUAGCCUCCCGAAAGGGAGAUUAAUACCGCAUAACAUUAGCUUUUCACAUGAAAGGCUAAUUAAAGGAGUAAUCCGCUUUGAGAUGGGCCCGCGGCGCAUUAGCUAGUUGGUGAGGUAACGGCUCACCAAGGCCACGAUGCGUAGCCGACCUGAGAGGGUGAUCGGCCACAUUGGAACUGAGACACGGUCCAGACUCCUACGGGAGGCUG
rnacentral:rRNA from 1 species